ensembl:lincRNA
GCGCGAAUCUGGUACCGGGACUUGGGGAGCGAGGGAUGCAACAUGGUGCAUCUGGGAGGCCUGCUAACUGGCUAACUUCUCCGGCGUUCCUCCCGGCCGAGGCGUGGGCACAGAAUAGCGGCGGCACCGGCGCCGGUGAGGCCCAGAUAUGGUGUCUCGAUACGGCGCGGAAGGUAAGCGACCCCCGGGCCGGCGGGUCGGGGAAUGGUGCUGACCUUGGAGGCCUCGGUCCGCCACGCCGCCCUUGCGCCUAAGGUCGCCGAACGACCGCCGCCCCCCACCCCUCCACUUCCGCCUCAGCAUGGCCACCCUGGCUCGACUACCUGCACUGCAUGGUUCACCGACCUGUGAGCCCACGGAUCUGGCUGUGAGCCCAGCCUUCGGCAUCACAACUCAUUCCUUCCUCCAGCGCCGGUGCGUCUCAGGCCAUUCAUUCCCUGCGCCUUCCAGCAUCUGCUCCUCCAGCUUUUGCAGAUCAUGGCAGGGGCGCCUGCCCAACCCCCCCCNCCCCACCACCACCACCACCACCACCGGGAUGCGGUUCUCCAGCUUCCUCUCGCUGCUCAUCCCAGGUGCACCGGUUUCUGCCUCAGCCUUGUUCUCAGACAUUCGGAAUCAGUAUCCCAAGGCAAUGUUUUCCUCGCUUCUUUUUCCUCGUUACUUUUCCUUUAUAUGCAGGGCACCUCUCCUCACGUGUAGGUGCUCUGUUCACACUUCUGAGUGCUGUUAAAAUAGCAGUCCGGGUAGACAGAGAGGGGCACUUCUCUCAGUUUGGAAGCACUUUCUUCCUGGGGCUGGUUUGGAAAGCUCAGACCAUCCUGUAAGAAGUUCCUUUAUUGUUUACAAAACAUGUCUAGGAUUUUACUGCUUUCUUUCGACCAGGUAUAAUGUAGAAUGGUAUGUAGAUAAAAAUAGGGACACAUAAUAUAAAGGAUUUGUAACUUUUAAGGAGUAUGUAAUAACUCUUAGUUUUUGCCUGGAGAAUGCGUGUUCCUCCUUUUCGUAGAAUAAGACAUACCUUAAUCUAGUUCCUAUGGAGUGCACAUUAGCUCAGUUUAACGUUACCUCGAUGGGCUUUCUAAAUGUUUGAGUCUGUUAUCUCACACUGACUGGGCUUUGCCCAGGGAAAUACUGCUAGAAUCUGCCCUUCCUGUGCGGCCUGUCCUGGACACUUGGAAGGUUACCUGAAUGAAGCCCUCCAUCCAAGAAUUCAGUCUACUAGAGUGCACUCAGCUUACUGCUUAGCCUAGUUAUUUGCCAUUUUUUCCUGAAUUACUCUUGUUUUCUUUUUUUGUGUCUUUUAGGUCAGUAUGUACCUCGUUUUGUAUAUUGUCUUGAAACUUUACUCCUUUGUAUGGUAAUUAAUGCAUAUUUGUUCACUUUUUAAAAGGUGGGAUUCACCUUAAAGAUUAAUUUCUAUGAUUCUCAGGUAGAAAAAUACAAAUUUUCAAAGCUAAUGUGCUUAAAUAUGUAACUUCAUUCCUUUCAUCCCAAUUGAAAACUAACAUUCUAAAUAGUGAGAAAAAACUUCUCAACAACCAAUCACUGCUAAUAAGUUCCAAUGACGACAUAUACCUAUAGAGUCAAACAUACACCCUUCAAUAGCUUUUGAAGUGGAAAGAUCAAAGUCUUAGAUAUGGGUUUGAAUUAUGUCUCUGCUGGUUGUAUGACUUUGAGCUUUUCAUUCAUAGUUUGAAGACAUCAUUUUCCAGUUUUGGAGCCGACUAAUGAACUAGUUCUUAAGUGAAAGGCAUUUAACACGACUGUGCAUCUACAGGUACUAGCUCCCUCUUCUCUUCCAGGUUUCCAAGAUGCCUUUCCAGACUAAAACCCACACAUGUGAGCCGCUGGCCGGACAAACAUCUGGCACCUAACGUGGGGCUGAAAAACAGCAGAGGACAUUUGGAAGAAACACUGCUGGUUUGGAGCUCCAUAGAAGAAGAAAAUAAUUAAAGGAAAUUCAUACCAGAGAAGGUCAGUAUGGGCUAAGCUGAAACAGCGUUUAACCUGAGCGCUAAUUCGCUUAGGUUCAGCAGUGAGGCAUCUCAGGAGCUAGGAACGUAACAGGCGGUUAGCCAUAGCUCCCAGAAGCUACAUUUUUAGGCGUGAGAAAAGAAAGGGUUUAUUAAAAGGAAAUUAAUAAUAAGGCGGACUGCAUUAUGCGGGAGGAAAAUGUCCCAAAAAGCAGAGAGAAAUUUCCGGAAAGCCAUGCUUUGUUCUCUCUGGGCUUUACAGCAGAAAUACUCUGCCCCUUUUGUGUCUUGUCUAAUGUCUGGUGCACUGAAAGACCCACAACAUGAGGACUCCCCCACGUUCUGACUCAGGAGAGGCGACACCCCAAACCACUCACAAGAAACGGUCUUGCUGCAAACUGCAAGAGGAUUUUUUUAUUCAAGAGCGCUCUCGGGCCCACGGUCAUACACCACACAGGGGUAGAGGACUGUCGCGUCCUGAGUUGCUGGGAAAGUGGGUAUUUAAAGGAAGAAACCACAACUCAAGGAAGUGGGGAGGGCGUUGUUGGAAAAUAUAAAGAUACCAGUUAAGAGUCCCAAGGAAGUGCAAAGUCACAAGAGUCACAAGGAAUACCUGGAAAUUUUGCAGGUUAUCUCUCAAGACAGUUUCUAAGAGCCCCUAACAAUAGCACAUUUGCAUAGUGGGUUCCGCCAAUGGUCAGGGUGACUUUCUUUGAAUGAACACUCUUUGAACCCAGGAAGCAGGUGGGUAGAGGAAUGUCACUAUCUGUUUUAUGAUUAGCAUACCUUGGAGCAUUAAGUCACAGAGGUCACAUUCCCAAGCCUNNNNNNNNNNNNNNNNNNNNNNGUUUUUAUGUUAUACUUUCAGCACCAAUCUGUUCACAUGUUCAAUUCAUGUAUGUUCGUGUCCAGUCUGUAUGAAUGAAUGUUCUAUGUUUUAUGUUGGAUAAUAAAGAUGGC